UGGUCAAGUUAUUAAGGGUGCAGGGCGGAUGCCUUGGCACUAGGAGCCGAUGAAGGACGUGAUAAGCUGCGAUAAGCUUCGGGGAGUUGCACGUAAACUUUGAUCCGAAGAUUUCCGAAUGAGGAAACUCACUUAGAGUAAUGUCUAAGUAUCAUUAAGUGAAUACAUAGCUUAAUGAGGGGAACUCAGGGAACUGAAACAUCUAAGUACCUGAAGGAAGAGAAAGAAAUUCGAUUCCGUAAGUAGCGGCGAGCGAACGCGGAUUAGCCCAAACUAAUAAAGUUUUCUUUAUUGGGGUUGCGGACAUAUCAUAACGAAGAGGUAUCGUAAUUGAAGAGGUUUGGAAAGACCCACCACAGAAGGUAAUAGUCCUGUAUGUUAAACGAGAAGACUUUAGAUAUGAUCCAGAGUACCACGGGACACGUGAAACCCUGUGGGAAGCAGGAGGGACCACCCUCCAAGGCUAAAUACUACCUAGUGACCGAUAGCGUAUAGUACCGUGAGGGAAAGGUGAAAAGAACCCCGGGAGGGGAGUGAAAUAGAACCUGAAACCCUGCACUUACAAGCUGUGGAAGCACAUUUCUUGUGUGACCGCGUACUUUUUGUAGAACGGGCCAACGAGUUACGUUAAGUAGCAAGGUUAAGCACUUAAGGUGUGGAGCCGUAGCGAAAGCGAGUUUUAACUGAGCGUUCAGUUACUUGACGUAGACCCGAAACCGGGCGACCUACCCAUGAGCAGGAUGAAGCGAAAGUAAAAUUUCGUGGAGGUCCGAACCCACGAGCGUUGAAAAGCUCGGGGAUGACUUGUGGGUAGCGGUGAAAUUCCAAUCGAGCCCGGAGAUAGCUGGUUCUCCCCGAAAUAGCUUUAGGGCUAGCCUCAAGGUGAGAGAUACGGAGGUAGAGCACUGAAUGUCCUAGGGGGUAUUGCACCUACCGAAGACUAUCAAACUCCGAAUGCCGUCAUCUUAUACUUGGGAGUCAGACUGUGGGUGAUAAGAUUCAUAGUCGAAAGGGCAACAGCCCAGAUCGUCAGCUAAGGUCCCUAAAUGUAAGUUAAGUGGUAAAGGAUGUGGGAUUGCACAGACAACCAGGAUGUUGGCUUAGAAGCAGCCACUCAUUCAAAGAG
rnacentral:rRNA from 1 species